CUCUCUGAUUCUCUUGGCUUUCAGCCUUUUUCUGCAGGACUUGGUAUCCGAAUUCGUCCAGCAAGUCUUCAGCAUCGUAGGCGGCGUCUUUGAGUUGUUGGAGGAUUUGGAAAAGGUUGUCGUCUUUGGUGCGCCUCUUCUCGGCGCUCUUUAAGAUGAAACGUGUCCGUAGCAGAGUAGUUCGCAGCCUCCUGAGGUCAUCCUGAAGCCCCGAGUGCCGCCCGAAUUGUUGGAUGGCAUCGGAGCUCACCUGGCCGACCAAGUUGUC
rnacentral:lncRNA from 1 species